rnacentral:tRNA from 1 species
GCUGGGGAUAUAGCUUAGUUGCUAGAGUGUUUGCCUCGUAUGCACAAGACCCUGGAUUCAAUUCCCAGCACAACA